rnacentral:lncRNA from 1 species
AUGUCCUUUCUCUGCACCAUGAAAUGCAUAUCCCUUCCCGCAGAUGAAUUGGAUGAGGCAUUCACAGAGCUGAGCUUCCUCAUAAAGGAGUACCUGGGUCUGGAGCCACCUGCAGUUUUUGAUAGCAUUCAGGACUUGAAUAGCAAAACAGUAACAGAUUCAAGAAUACAGCUCUUACAGGAUCAGAGAUUGUCACCCAGCAGAGUAACUGCUAGAACUACUCGUUCUUCGUCUGUCAAUGGAUUCUUGGACUCUUCUGCCAAAAACGAUUCAGCAAGCAUCUCAGAUAGGUUUGCUCCACAACUAGUCCCCGUGGUAAGGAAAAUUACCUCUAACCUCAGGAUGGAAAUGAUAAGUUAUAUGCAAGUAUGUGUUGGUCAGACCUUUCUUUCCCUGGAGCAAUUUGACUGCUGUUCUGUGGACUUUAAUUUUGUUUGUGUUUCCAAGAAUUAAAGGCAGAUUAACGAGAAUGAUGCAGGUAAACUCAGCUGAGAGGACAGGCUGUCUUUUCUGCCCAACUUUACACCAGAGUGAAUCUGUUGAUUGUAAUGAAUUUUGUCCAGUUGUGUACUGGUAUAAUGGAGCUGAAGAUCAUCUCUCUUCUGUUUCAAAAAGAUGUAGAAACUACCCUAUUCAGAGCAAACAGUGAGAUGCAGUUAACAGGACAAUGAGGACUACUUAUGAGUCUCAUCUUGCUGCAGUGGAAAAGCUGCUUCAGCCGAGUGUUUCAGAGCGUAUGCUACUCACAACUGCUAGAGAUGAAAUUUAAGCACGUUUCUCACCUGCCUUUACUUUUUCAGUCUACGAAUUCAACAAUGAGCUUGGAUUUCAAAUGACUUCUUGCAACUUCAACUUCAUCCCUCUCUCUCUCCCCCUCUUUUUUUUUUUUUUCUUCUUCUCUUUACUAGUCUGUCCCCUAAAGGCAUUCAUUCUCCUUGCAGGCAGUGGAGGAGUUGGGGCUAUGAAGCAGAUGCGUCUGAUGCUCCUUUUCAAUGAUAAUGACAGGAGAAAGAAAAAAAGAAAAAUGGCAGUUUUAAGCUAUGUUUCAUUCCAG